CCCUUAGAUGUCCUGGGCUGCACGCGCGCUACACUGGAAGUUACGGAUUGAGAUACUACCUUGUCCGAAAUGGUCCGGGUAAUCACCUAAAAGCUUGUCAUAAUUGGAAUGGAUUAUUGUAACUAGUAAUCCUGAACGGGGAAUUCCUAGUAAGUCCCAGUCAACAGCUGGUACUGAUUACGUCCCUGCCCUUUGUACACACCGCCCGUCGCUACUACUGAUUGGACGUUUAAGCAAGAUUUUUAAACACUGACAGUGUGUAGUUCACGCUAUACUACAGUGAGAAGAAGAAGAUCGAGCUUACUUGUCUAGAGGAAGUAAAAGUCGUAACA
rnacentral:rRNA from 1 species